CCUCUUCCUGCAGAGGAGGCCCCGCCCCCGCCCUCUGAUAGGUCGGUGGACGGCGACAGCAGUGAUGACUCGGUAGCGGACGGCUCCUCCACCAAUGACCUCGCUCGUCUCCUGCCCGCCUCCGCGUUCCGAAAACACAAAGGUGUUGACAGCUCAUCAGUAGCUCCUCCUCCUCCUCCCGUCUGUACUCCUCCAUCUUCCUCCUCCACCCGUCCUCCUCCUCCUCCGUCUCGGGGGUCCACCUGUAACAGACACAACUGCAGCCUUCCUCCUCCUCCUCCUCCUCCUCCUCCUCUUCAUCAUCAUCAUCAGCAUCAUCGCCAUCAUCAGCGGCGGCACAGCGCCAAUCAGAAGCGUCUCUCCUCCACGAGGAGCCACGCCUCCGUCAGGACGGACGCCGACCACAUCAAGGAGGUCGCUGGAGACGACUGUUGCGUUCACUGUCUCCU